rnacentral:rRNA from 1 species
AUUGAACGCUGGCGGCAGGCCUAACACAUGCAAGUCGAACGGUAACAGGAAACAGCUUGCUGUUUCGCUGACGAGUGGCGGACGGGUGAGUAAUGUCUGGGAAACUGCCUGAUGGAGGGGGAUAACUACUGGAAACGGUAGCUAAUACCGCAUAACGUCGCAAGACCAAAGAGGGGGACCUUCGGGCCUCUUGCCAUCGGAUGUGCCCAGAUGGGAUUAGCUAGUAGGUGGGGUAACGGCUCACCUAGGCGACGAUCCCUAGCUGGUCUGAGAGGAUGACCAGCCACACUGGAACUGAGACACGGUCCAGACUCCUACGGGAGGCAGCAGUGGGGAAUAUUGCACAAUGGGCGCAAGCCUGAUGCAGCCAUGCCGCGUGUAUGAAGAAGGCCUUCGGGUUGUAAAGUACUUUCAGCGGGGAGGAAGGGGGUAAAGUUAAUACCUUUGCUCAUUGACGUUACCCGCAGAAGAAGCACCGGCUAACUCCGU